GACUCAGUAGCUGAGUGGUAAUGCACUCGAGUCCUGCUCGAGAGGUUGGGGGUUCGAUUCCUUCCUGGGUCC